rnacentral:rRNA from 1 species
CCUACGGGAGGCAGCAGUGAGGAAUAUUGGUCAAUGGGCGGAAGCCUGAACCAGCCAAGUAGCGUGCGGGAUGAAUGCCCUACGGGUCGUAAACCGCUUUUGCACGGGGAUAACACCCUCCACUUGUGGAGGUCUGCAGGUACCGUGCGAAUAAGGGCCGGCUAAUUCCGUGCCAGCAGCCGCGGUAAUACGGAAGGCCCGAGCGUUAUCCGGAUUUAUUGGGCUUAAAGGGAGUGUAGGCGGGCGUUCAAGUCAGCUGUAAAAUCGCGCGGCUCAACCGCAGCCCGCAGUUGAAACUGUUGGCCUUGAGUUCACAAGAGGCAGGCGGAAUUCGUGGGGUAGCGGUGAAAUGCAGAGAUAUCACGAGGAACCCCGAUUGCGAAGGCAGCCUGCCGGGGUGCGACUGACGCUGAGGCUCGAAGGUGCGGGUAUCAAACAGGAUUAGAUACCCGUGUAGUC